AGCGAACGCUGGCGGCAGGCUUAACACAUGCAAGUCGAGCGGGCCCUUCGGGGUCAGCGGCGGACGGGUGAGUAACGCGUGGGAACGUGCCUUCUGGUCUGGAAUAACCCUGGGAAACUAGGGCUAAUACCGGAUACGCCCUUUUGGGGAAAGGUUUACUGCCGGAAGAUCGGCCCGCGUCUGAUUAGCUAGUUGGUGGGGUAACGGCCUACCAAGGCGACGAUCAGUAGCUGGUCUGAGAGGAUGAUCAGCCACACGGGGACUGAGACACGGCCCAGACUCCUACGGGAGGCAGCAGUGGGGAAUAUUGGACAAUGGGCGCAAGCUUGAACCAGCCAUGCCGCGUGAGUGAUGAAGGCCUUAGGGUUGUAAAGCUCUUUUAUCCGGGACGAUAAUGACGGUACCGGAGGAAUAAGCCCCGGCUAACUUCGUGCCAGCAGCCGCCGUAAAAC
rnacentral:rRNA from 1 species